rnacentral:lncRNA from 10 species
CCUGGCAAAGUCACAGGAAGUAUCUCCAUGGCACCGCAUCAGCCCUCACAGAGCAGGAAACCUUGAUUUCUACAGAGGCUGUUUCCUCCCAGCCUUGUGCAAGGCCCACUGCAGAGACAAAAUUAUGGUGGCCAAAGUGUGAAUGCCAAGGCCACACUGGUCUCCCAGCCUUGGGAUCGCUGAGUAAAACCAGUCAGCACCAUGUCACCCUAUGGAGACUGGCCUCCAUCCCUGGGAUUUGCUGGUAGAAGAAAGGGAAUCAGCGCUGACUGAGCUCCUACUAUGUGCCCUUCCUGGGCCUGGCACUGGAAUCACAGGAUGAAUGAAUAAGGCAUAUUUCCUGCCCUGAGGAGGCGUCUAUAGGGGAAGUCGGAAUUAAGGCACCUCCAGAAUUCUGAGGUCAAGGGAAUGUCAACAGAGCUGUGAACAAAAUGCCCAAAGCCAUGAAAAUCUACAGAGAGAGACUCGAAGGGGAGGAAUGGGGUAGGAGCUGGUGCCGAGGAUGAGAGGGGAGAAUUCACCUGGUGGAGAACUGAUAGGCCAGGCUGAGGUCGGGAUGGUGGAGGAGGUGGUGGAGGUGAUGAGGUACCAGAGCAACCUCGAAGAAAGCUGAGAGGCAGGAGACCGCCAAAGGCAAACUUGGAACACCUGGUGACUCCGACUAACUCUCCAUGUGGUGUCCUUGAGGACUUUUAUGAUACUGCUACCACUGCUAAUAGUAAUAAAAGCCACUAUUUAAUGUGUUUACUAUGCGCUGGGUGUGCAAAUAUUGUGGAAAGAGUGAACAUAUGUGCAGAAUGCUUAAUAAACGUGAUCUCCUUUUAUCUUCAAAAGAAC